rnacentral:lncRNA from 1 species
UGGUGGUGUUGCUUGUGGUUCAAAGACUUGAACCUUUUUUGGUGCUUUUUGUGAGACAUUGUGGUCUGUUUUUUGUGCAAUGGAACCCGAGACCUCACACUCUCAACCCACAGGGGAACACAAUGCUACUAGUAUCAUUUUGGCUCACCUUGAAGCUAUGUCUCUAGACAUGGCUAAGAUGACCGCGGGUAUAGAAAAAAUAGAUUCGG